ACUACGGGCGGCAGCAGUGGGGGAUAUUGCACAAUGGGGGAAACCCUGAUGCAGCGACGCCGCGUGUAGGAAGACGGUCCUCUGGAUUGUAAACUACUGUCCCCAGGGACGAAGAUGACGGUACCUGGGGAGGAAGCUCCGGCUAACUACGUGCCAGCAGCCGCGGUAAUACGUGGGGAGCGAGCGUUGUCCGGAAUUACCGGGUGUAAAGGGAGCGUAGGCGGGGAUGCAAGUUGGGUGUUAAAUCUACCGGCUCAACUGGUAGUCGCACUCAAAACUGCAGCUCUUGAGUGAAGUAGAGGCAGGCGGAAUUCCUAGUGUAGCGGUGAAAUGCGUAGAUAGUAGGAGGAACACCAGUGGCGAAGGCGGCCUGCUGGGCUUUUACUGACGCUGAGGCUCGAAAGUGUGGGGAGCAAACAGGAUUAGAUACCCGAGUAGUC
rnacentral:rRNA from 1 species